rnacentral:tRNA from 1 species
GGAAUUUAGCUCAGUGGUAGAGCACUUGCCUAACAUGCGCAAGGCCCUGGGUUCGAUCCCCAGCUCCG